rnacentral:snRNA from 1 species
GUGCUCACUUCGGCAGCACAUACACUAAAAUUGGAACGAAACAGAGAAGAUUAGCAUGGACUUGCACAAGGGUGACACGCAAAUUCAUGAAGCGUUUCAUACAGAA